rnacentral:rRNA from 1 species
AGAGUUUGAUCCUGGCUCAGGAUGAACGCUGGCGGCGUGCUUAACACAUGCAAGUCGAACGAAGCACUUUAACCUGAUUCUUCGGAUGAAGGUUUUUGUGAGUGAGUGGCGGACGAGUGAGUAACGCGUGGGUAACCUGCCUCAUACAGGGGGAUAACAGUUAGAAAUGACUGCUAAUACCGCAUAAGACCACGGAGCCGCAUGGCUCAGUGGGAAAAACUCCGGUGGUAUGAGAUGGACCCGCGUCUGAUUAGGUAGUUGGUGGGGUAACGGCCUACCAAGCCAACGAUCAGUAGCCGACCUGAGAGGGUGACCGGCCACAUUGGGACUGAGACACGGCCCAAACUCCUACGGGAGGCAGCAGUGGGGAAUAUUGCACAAUGGGGGAAACCCUGAUGCAGCGACGCCGCGUGAGCGAAGAAGUAUUUCGGUAUGUAAAGCUCUAUCAGCAGGGAAGAAAAUGACGGUACCUGACUAAGAAGCACCGGCUAAAUACGUGCCAGCAGCCGCGGU